UACAGAGGUCUCAAGCGUUGUUCGGAUUCACUGGGCUUAAAGGGUGCGUAGGUGGGCAGUUAAGUCAGUGGUGAAAUCUCCGGGCUCAACCCGGAAACUGCCAUUGAUACUAUCUGUCUUGAAUAUCGUGGAGGUAAGCGGAAUAUGUCAUGUAGCGGUGAAAUGCUUAGAUAUGACAUAGAACACCAAUUGCGAAGGCAGCUUACUGCCCGAAUAUUGACACUGAGGCACGAAAGCGUGGGGAGCAAACAGG
rnacentral:rRNA from 1 species